rnacentral:lncRNA from 1 species
CAUACCAGUCAAGUACAAAGAUCCAGAGUCUCCUAUAAUCUCAUGUGUCAUUAGAAAAACCAUCAUUGAUCGGGCCUUAUUAGACCUACGGGCUAGUGUGAAUAUCUUACCUUAUUCGGUCUAUGAGAAAUUAGGGAUAGGAGAAUUAAAGCCUACAGAAAUUAUAUUGCAAUUGAUAAACCGAUCAGUGAGAAUCCCCAAGGG